rnacentral:tRNA from 1 species
GGGGCGUUAGCUCAGUCGGUAGAGCAGUUGACUUUUAAUCAAUUGGUCGCAGGUUCGAUUCCUGCACGCCCCACCA